UCUCUGGUGGUCUAGUAGCUAAGACUCUGUGCUUCCAAUGCAGGGGGCCCAGGUUUGAUCCCUGGUCAGGAAA
rnacentral:tRNA from 1 species